UGACAAUUUUUGUCAUUUUUAAUGAUAUUUGGUGUCUUUUCUUAAUGCCACAGCUCCUGGAUUCAUGUGAUUGUGUCAGAAUCUCAGCUUUGGUUUGAAGAAGAAUUUAAAAAAAAUGGAAUCUAGCCUCCAAGGUCGUGGAGAAAAACUUGAAAACAUGGCUCGUAAAGAUUCAAAAACCCAAAGACCCACAAACCAAGGGAACUGACUAGACAAGUGCUGUCAUGUCUUCUCAAGAGAGCUGCUGAAGAUGCAAGAAUUGCAGCAAAGGGAUACUUAAAGAAAAAUGGGAAAGAUUGCAAAGCUCCUUCCCCCGGCACGCGAGACAGCGACUGGAGCCACGCGGGGCCUUGGAGCCUUGCAGCUGGUGAGUGACCGUGGCCGGCUCUCCGCGGGCGCGCGCCACGGGAGGCGGGCGCAACUUGC
rnacentral:lncRNA from 1 species